rnacentral:miRNA from 3 species
UGCUAGCAAUCUAUCGUGGUUA